AGAUGUAUACCUCACAUGUUUCUACCUUCCCUGCACACUGCCAGCUUUUCCCCUGGCCUCCCCAGUGAAAUUGUUGUUAUUGAUGCGAUGUUCACGGAUUGGUGAACUUCGACAUAGGACCCAUGUUAUUGGUCAUGGAGAGAUGCAUUUUAGAUGAUGGCAUAACGAGUUAAUUAGGAUCUAUUUAGUGUUGGCCCCCCCCCCCCCAAUGUUUUUCGGGUCAAGUUCACGGCUUCGUGAAUAGCAGCAUUGCUGCCCUCGUCAGAUCUAGUUCAGAUGUGCUGAUUUGAGAUCAUUAUUAAAACAUUUUUAAAGGUUCUGAGAAACGGUGUCAGGUCCAAAACCAGACCAGAUUUUAGUCCUGACGACGGUACUUUUUUCUGGAUGGGUUUGUCUGUAAUGAGACUAGACUGCACUGGACCGGAUCAGGGAGACUGGGUUUGUUCUUAGUCUUCGCCUCAGGCAAGAACUGUUCCCUUUCUCGAAGCCGUUCAAAUGGUUUGAGUUUAUUUGCAAGCAUAGAGAACGGCCUCGUUUCUCAUUAUGCCAGUCUGUCGCCGGUAUCAAACUUGAAGAGCGGCUUUGGUUUAAUUUGUCUCCAGACCAGAGCUGCAUCAACACACUGCACAAAGAAACCAACCCCAGACCCACUACAGACAUGAUCAUCAGACUGGGCAGACUGACCCCUGGAUACUUCCGCCUCCUACAGAGACAGGUGGCGGGUGAGGUGCAGACCCAGCCACAGGACCGCGUGGUCAACCAGAUAGCCAUGAUGCUGGCCAUCAUGGGCCUAAGCCUGUCCUACUACAGUGCCAAACGGAUGACUGAGAAGGUCCAGAGGCUCCAGAAGAGAAGAGAUCCCCAUACACCCUGAACCUGGAGAGAAGACGAACCAACGCAGAGAUGUUGUGGAGAGGAGACAUGGAGAUGUCGGUGUCCAGAACAACACCUUUUCACAACCAAUCAGUCAUAGUCACGUCGUUCACACACUGGAGUUUUACUGGGAUCACUCUCAAUGCGAGGAGAGUUCGGGGGCUGCUGCUUUUAAGGGUAUCUUGUUCAUUUUUCACACCAAUUUGGGGUGUGUGUGUGUGUGUGUGUGUGAAGAAAGGCCCACGGUGGGGUUCGUGUGGUCCUGAUAAGGUCUGGGGGGUAAAAGUACUACCAGCUGUCUAUGGUAAGGCUGGGCCUGAGCUUUAGUUGUUGCCAAGGUACAUGCGUGCAAGAUGCCAUCAAUACUGUUCUGCGCUAAAAAGGGAUAGAAAAAUGCCAAACUAAUUAUUCUAAUGUACUGUGAAACUUGCCAGUGCUCCAAGCAUAUGACUGUGUAAAAUAACUGAACAGUAAUUAUUUUUUAAGGGAAGGCUAUCUGCAUUUGAGAUGUAUCUGGUAAUGACUGAAGGCAGGCCCAUAGUGUGAGGAGAAAGCAACCCUCUUAGGUUUUUGUCAUUUCUUAUUGUUAAAUAAAAGUGAGCCAUGUGAAGUAGAUGUGGAGGAGGAGUCUCAAACUGGUCAAUAAUUCCACACAUGUUUAAUAUCUGUUAAUGUCAGACACAAAAAAAAAACAGUGAAAGUGAAAUGCA